rnacentral:rRNA from 1 species
AAGACCUUGCGCUUUUGGAGCGGCCGAUGCCUGAUUAGCUAGUUGGUGGGGUAAUGGCCUACCAAAGCUUCGAUCAGUAGCUGGUCUGAGAGGACGGCCAGCCACACUGGGACUGAGACACGGCCCAGACUCCUACGGGAGGCAGCAGUGGGGAAUUUUGGACAAUGGGCGCAAGCCUGAUCCAGCCAUGCCGCGUGAGUGAAGAAAGCCUUCGGGUUGUAAAGCUCUUUCAGCCGGGAAGAAAAGGUUGCGAUUAAUAAUCGCAAUUUAUGACGGUACCGGAAGAAGAAGCACCGGCUAACUACGUGCCAGCAGCCGCGGUAAUACGUAGGGUGCGAGCGUUAAUCGGAAUUACUGGGCGUAAAGGGUGCGCAGGCGGUUUUGUAAGUCAGAUGUGAAAUCCCCGGGCUUAACCUGGGAACU